rnacentral:rRNA from 1 species
AUACGGAGGAUCCGAGCGUUAUCCGGAUUUAUUGGGUUUAAAGGGUGCGUAGGCGGACUAGUAAGUCAGUGGUGAAAUCCUGCAGCUUAACUGUAGAAUUGCCGUUGAUACUGUUAGUCUUGAGUACAUUUGAGGUAGGCGGAAUGUGGUGUGUAGCGGUGAAAUGCAUAGAUAUACCACAGAACACCGAUUGCGAAGGCAGCUUACUAAACUGUAACUGACGCUGAGGCACGAAAGCGUGGGUAUCAAACAGGAUUAGAUACCCUGGUAGUCCACGCUGUAAACGAUGAUUACUGGUUGUUUGCGAUACACCGCAAGUGACUGAGCGAAAGCAUUAAGUAAUCCACCUGGGGAGUACGUCGGCAACGAUGAA